rnacentral:rRNA from 1 species
AACGAACGCUGGCGGCAUGCCUAACACAUGCAAGUCGAACGAGACCUUCGGGUCUAGUGGCGCACGGGUGCGUAACGCGUGGGAACCUGCCCUUAGGUUCGGAAUAACUCCCCGAAAGGGGUGCUAAUACCGGAUAAUGUCUUCGGACCAAAGAUUUAUCGCCUUUGGAUGGGCCCGCGUUGGAUUAGCUUGUUGGUAGGGUAAAAGCCUACCAAGGCGACGAUCCAUAGCUGGUCUGAGAGGAUGAUCAGCCACACUGGGACUGAGACACGGCCCAGACUCCUACGGGAGGAAGAAGUGGGGAAUAUGGGACAAUGGGCGAAAGCAUGAACCAGGAAUGCCGCGUGAGUGAUGAAGGCCUAAGGGUUGUAAAGCUCUUUUACCCGGGAUGAUAAAGACAGUACCGGGAGAAUAAGCUCCGGCUAACGCCG